AAAUCCAGGAUCUAAAAGACCUUAUCCGAAUUUGCACUUCGGGCUAUUUUACUGAACU
rnacentral:tRNA from 1 species